rnacentral:rRNA from 1 species
AUUGAACGCUGGCGGCAGGCCUAACACAUGCAAGUCGAACGAGUGGCGGACGGGUGAGUAAUGCUUGGGAAUCUGACUUAUGGAGGGGGAUAACUACUGGAAACUGUAGCUAAUACCGCAUACCAUCGGAUGAGCCCAAGUGGGAUUAGGUAGUUGGUGGGGUAAAGGCUCACCUAGCCGACGAUCUCUAGCUGGUCUGAGAGGAUGACCAGCCACACUGGGACUGAGACACGGUCCAGACUCCUACGGGAGGCAGCAGUGGGGAAUAUUGCACAAUGGGCGCAAGCCUGAUGCAGCCAUGCCGCGUGAAUGAAGAAGGCCUUCGGGUUGUAAAGUACUUUCAGCAGGGAGGCGUUACCCACAGAAGAAGCACCGGCUAACUCCGUGCCAGCAGCCGCGGUAAUAC